rnacentral:rRNA from 1 species
GGUUGCGAUCAUACCAGCACUAAUGCACCGGAUCCCAUCAGAACUCCGCAGUUAAGCGUGCUUGGGCGAGAGUAGUACUAGGAUGGGUGACCCCCUGGGAAGUCCUCGUGUUGCAACCCUC